GGUUAAGCGACUAAGCGUACACGGUGGAUGCCCUGGCAGUCAGAGGCGAUGAAGGACGUGCUAAUCUGCGAAAAGCGUCGGUAAGGUGAUAUGAACCGUUAUAACCGGCGAUGUCCGAAUGGGGAAACCCAGUGUGAUUCGUCACACUAUCGUUAACUGAAUACAUAGGUUAACGAGGCGAACCGGGGGAACUGAAACAUCUAAGUACCCCGAGGAAAAGAAAUCAAACGAGAUUCCCCCACAAGCGGCGAGCGAACGCGGAGCAGCCCAGAGUCUGAAUCAGCUUGUGUGUGAGUGGAACGGUCUGGAAAGUCCGACGGUACAGGGUGAUAGUCCCGUACACCAAAAUGCACAGGUUGUGAACUCGAAGAGUAGGGCGGGACACGUGGUAUCCUGUCUGAAUAUGGGGGGACCAUCCUCCAAGGCUAAAUACUCCUGACUGACCGAUAGUGAACCAGUACCGUGAGGGAAAGGCGAAAAGAACCCCGGCGAGGGGAGUGAAAAAGAACCUGAAACCGUGUACGUACAAGCAGUGGGAGCACCUUCGGGUGUGACUGCGUACCUUUUGUAUACUGGGUCAGCGACUUAUAUUCUGUAGCAAGGUUAACCGUAUAGGGGAGCCGCAGGGACACCGAGUCUUAACUGGGCGUUAAGUUGCAGGGUAUAGACCCGAAACCCGGUGAUCUAGCCAUGGGCAGGUUGAAGGUUGGGUAACACUAACUGGAGGACCGAACCGACUAAUGUUGAAAAAUUAGCGGAUGACUUGUGGCUGGGGGUGAAAGGCCAAUCAAACCGGGAGAUAGCUGGUUCUCCCCGACAGCUAUUUAGGUAGCGCCUCGUGAACUCAUCUUCGGGGGUAGAGCACUGUUUCGGCUAGGGGGUCAUCCCGACUUACCAACCCGAUGCAAACUACGAAUACCGAAGAAUGUUAUCACGGGAGACACACGGCGGGUGCUAACGUCCGUCGUGAAGAGGGAAACAACCCAGACCGCCAGCUAAGGUCCCAAAGUCAUGGUUAAGUGGGAAACGAUGUGGGAAGGCACAGACAGCCAGGAUGUUGGCUUAGAAGCAGCCAUCAUUUAAAGAAAGCGUAAUAGCUCACUGGUCGAGUCGGCCUGCGCGGAAGAUGUAACGGGGCUAAACCAUGCACCGAAGCUGCGGCAGCGACACUAUGUGUUGUUGGGUAGGGGAGCGUUCUGUAAGCCUGCGAAGGUGACCUGUGAGGGUNUUGUUGGGUAGGGGAGCGUUCUGUAAGCCUGCGAAGGUGUGCUGUGAGGCAUGCUGGAGGUAUCAGAAGUGCGAAUGCUGACAUAAGUAACGAUAAAGCGGGUGAAAAGCCCGCUCGCCGGAAGACCAAGGGUUCCUGUCCAACGUUAAUCGGGGCAGGGUGAGUCGACCCCUAAGGCGAGGCCGAAAGGCGUAGUCGAUGGGAAACAGGUUAAUAUUCCUGUACUUGGUGUUACUGCGAAGGGGGGACGGAGAAGGCUAUGUUAGCCGGGCGACGGUUGUCCCGGUUUAAGCAUGUAGGCUGGUUAUCCAGGCAAAUCCGGAUAACCAAGGCUGAGGUGUGAUGACGAGGCACUACGGUGCUGAAGUAACAAAUGCCCUGCUUCCAGGAAAAGCCUCUAAGCAUCAGGUAACAUCAAAUCGUACCCCAAACCGACACAGGUGGUCAGGUAGAGAAUACCAAGGCGCUUGAGAGAACUCGGGUGAAGGAACUAGGCAAAAUGGUGCCGUAACUUCGGGAGAAGGCACGCUGGUGUGUAGGUGAAGUCCCUGCGGAUGGAGCUGAGACCAGUCGAAGAUACCAGCUGGCUGCAACUGUUUAUUAAAAACACAGCACUGUGCAAACACGAAAGUGGACGUAUACGGUGUGACGCCUGCCCGGUGCCGGAAGGUUAAUUGAUGGGGUUAUCCGUAAGGAGAAGCUCUUGAUCGAAGCCCCGGUAAACGGCGGCCGUAACUAUAACGGUCCUAAGGUAGCGAAAUUCCUUGUCGGGUAAGUUCCGACCUGCACGAAUGGCGUAAUGAUGGCCAGGCUGUCUCCACCCGAGACUCAGUGAAAUUGAACUCGCUGUGAAGAUGCAGUGUACCCGCGGCAAGACGGAAAGACCCCGUGAACCUUUACUA
rnacentral:rRNA from 1 species